rnacentral:rRNA from 1 species
UACGAAGGGGACUAGCGUUGUUCGGAAUCACUGGGCGUAAAGCGCACGUAGGCGGAUGUGUCAGUCAGGGGUGAAAUCCCGGGGCUCAACCUCGGAACUGCCUUUGAUACUGUCGAUCUGGAGUAUGGAAGAGGUGAGUGGAAUUCCGAGUGUAGAGGUGAAAUUCGUAGAUAUUCGGAGGAACACCAGUGGCGAAGGCGGCUCACUGGUCCAUUACUGACGCUGAGGUGCGAAAGCGUGGGGAGCAAACAGG